rnacentral:rRNA from 1 species
UACGUAAGGUCCGAGCGUUGUCCGGAAUCAUUGGGCGUAAAGGGUACGUAGGCGGAUAAGCAAGUUAGAAGUGAAAUCCUAUAGCUCAACUAUAGUAAGCUUUUAAAACUGCUCAUCUUGAGGUAUGGAAGGGAAAGUGGAAUUCCUAGUGUAGCGGUGGAAUGCGCAGAUAUUAGGAAGAAUACCGGUGGCGAAGGCGACUUUCUGGCCAUUUUCUGACGCUCAGGUGCGAAAGCGUGGGGAGCAAACAGG